ACUCCUACGGGAGGCAGCAGUGGGGAAUAUUGCACAAUGGGCGCAAGCCUGAUGCAGCCAUGCCGCGUGUAUGAAGAAGGCCUUCGGGUUGUAAAGUACUUUCAGCAGUGAGGAAGGUGGGUAUGUUAAUAGCAUACUCAUUUGACGUUAGCUGCAGAAGAAGCACCGGCUAACUCCGUGCCAGCAGCCGCGGUAAUACGGAGGGUGCGAGCGUUAAUCGGAAUUACUGGGCGUAAAGCGCAUGCAGGUGGUUGUUAAGUCAGAUGUGAAAGCCCGGGGCUCAACCUCGGAAUUGCAUUUGAAACUGGCAAACUAGAGUACUGUAGAGGGGUAGAAUUUCAGGUGUAGC
rnacentral:rRNA from 1 species